UACGUAGGGACCAAGCGUUGUUCGGAAUUACUGGGCGUAAAGCGCGCGUAGGCGGCUUUGUAAGUUAGAGGUGAAAGCCCGGAGCUCAACUCCGGAAUUGCCUUUAAGACUGCAUCGCUAGAAUCAUGGAGAGGUGAGUGGAAUUCCGAGUGUAGAGGUGAAAUUCGUAGAUAUUCGGAAGAACACCAGUGGCGAAGGCGACUCACUGGACAUGUAUUGACGCUGAGGUGCGAAAGCGUGGGGAGCAAACAGG
rnacentral:rRNA from 1 species